rnacentral:misc_RNA from 1 species
AAGUCGUAACAAGGUUUCCGUAGGUGAACCUGCGGAAGGAUCAUUAGCACUGCUAUGAUAAAGGGGAAUUUUCGCGAGAAAGUACCUUUUGUCGUAUAAACACCUGUGAGCAUGAAAUUGAUUUGUGGAUGGAGGAGUGGAGGUGUGUUGUGGGCCUGCGGCUAUGGCCUGCGGCCUGCGACCAUUGAAGCUUUUUCCUUUUUUACUUUUUUAAACCCCAACAACCAAUAACCAAAAAAUACCAAAGACUGAACUGUCUCUUGCCUAACAACGAGAGACAACCUUGAUAUUCUAACCAAAGAAACAAUUCUUAGCAACGGAUAUCUUGGUUCCC